rnacentral:rRNA from 1 species
CAGCCGCCGCGGUAAUACCAGCUCCCCGAGUGGUGAGGACGAUUAUUGGGCCUAAAGCGUCCGUAGCCGGCUUAGUAAGUUUCCCGUUAAAUCCGACGAUCCAAUCGCCGGGCCGCGGGGAAUACUGCUAAGCUAGGAGGCGGGAGAGGCCGGCGGUACUUUUGGGGUAGGGGUGAAAUCCUAUAAUCCCAGAAGGACCACCAGUGGCGAAGGCGGCCGGCCAGAACGCGCUCGACGGUGAGGGACGAAAGCUGGGGGAGCGAACCGGAUUAGAUACCCGGGUAGUCCCAGCUGUAAACGAUGCGGGCUAAGUGUCGGAAUGGCUAUAGUGCCAUUCCGGUGCUGCAGGGAAGCCGUUAAGCCCGCCGCCUGGGGAGUACGGCCGCAAGGCUGAAACUUAAAGGAAUUGGCGGGGGAGCAC